UGCGUCCUACGGGGGGCAGCAGUAGGGAAUUUUCGUCAAUGGGCGCAAGCCUGAACGAGCAAUGCCGCGUGAACGAGGAAGGUCUUCGGAUCGUAAAGUUCUGUUGAAGGGGAAAAAGAGCGGAGAGAGGAAAUGGUCUCCGAUUGAUAUUACCCUUCGAGGAAGUCACGGCUAACUACGUGCCAGCAGCCGCGGUAAUACAUAGUUGGCGAGCGUUAUCCGGACUGAUUGGGCGUAAAGGGUGCGUAGGCGGCCUGCUAAGUCUGGAGUGACAGGUACCGGCUCAACCGGUACAGGCUCUGGCA
rnacentral:rRNA from 1 species